AGUACCGUGAGGGAAAGGCGAAAAGAACCCCGGGAGGGGAAGUGAAAUAGAUCCUGAAAUUGUGUGCAUACAAACAGUAGGAGCCUCGUAAGGGGUGACUGCGUACCUUUUGUAUAAUGGGUCAGCGACUUACAUUCAGUAGCAAGCUUAACCGAAUAGGGAAGGCGUAGCGAAAGCGAGUCCGAAUAGGGCGCUAGUUGCUGGGUGUAGACCCCGAAACCAGUGAUCUAUUCCAUGGCCAGGAUGAAGGUGCCGUAACAGGUACUGGAGGUCCGANCCGACUAGUGUUGCAAAACUAGCGGAUGAGCUGUGGAUAGGGGUGAAAGGCUAAACAAACUUGGAAAUAGCUGGUUCUCUCCGAAAACUAUUUAGGUAGUGCCUCAAGUAUUACCGUCGGGGGUAGAGCGCUGUUUUGGCUAGGGGGUCAUGGCGACUUACCAAACCCAAGGCAAACUCCGAAUACCGACGAGUACAGCUUGGGAGACAGAGCACCGGGUGCUAACGUCCGGACUCAAGAGGGAAACAACCCAGACCGCCAGCUAAGGUCCCUAAAAUUGGCUAAGUGGGAAACGAAGUGGGAAGGCUAAAACAGUCAGGAUGUUGGCUUAGAAGCAGCCAU
rnacentral:rRNA from 1 species